AGUAGUUUGAUCAGUGGCUCGAGGACGAACGCUGGCGGCGUGCUUAACACAUGCAAGUCGAACGGGCACUUCGGUGCUAGUGGCGAACGGGUGAGUAAAGCGCAGGUAAUCUGCCGCAAAGAUGGGGACAACGUUCCGAAAGGGACGCUAAUACCGAAUGUUGUGUAGGAUUCGCAUGGGAGUUUUACUAAAGAUUUAUCGCUUUGCGAGGAGCCUGCGUCCGAUUAGGUAGUUGGUGUGAUAAAAGCGCACCAAGCCGACGAUCGGUAGCCGGUCUGAGAGGAUGAACGGCCACAAUGGAACUGAGACACGGUCCAUACUCC
rnacentral:rRNA from 1 species